AGUCAUGCAGAGGCCUGGUUGCUACGAUUGAAGGUCGCUUAGUGAAUAUCGAUAGUUUCUAUAGGUAUUUUUAUAUCUAUAGAAAGGUAAAAAGUAAAAGUAGAAUAUAGAGCAUUGUGCAGGAGAAAAAGAACUUUUUAUGUAAGAUGUGACCUGUGGGGCAUCGUGCCAGGCUAUCCCUUCCAGGUUUGGAAGGAUUCAGUGUUUUGUAUGGCAUGACGGAGAGUUUUGAAAAAUGAGAUUUCCUCUUCAGUGCAGGUCGGAUGGGUGAGGCCUGGCAGCUUGUGCAUUGCCACUGUGCUAACCUGUGUGCCUCUCCUUCCCUCCCUGCUCCACAGGCACAACCCGGGAGCAGCAGGGAGAGGUGGGUUUGUCGUGGAGGAUCCAGGAGCUCGGUGUGCGUGUCUGAGCCUGCAGUUCCAAGGUGCAGCAGGACCCAAGGUCUGCACACACCCAUGUACAGCACUUGUAAACAGCGUUAACGUGAAGAUAACGCGUGCGGGGAGUGUGCCGUGGGUUACCACAAGCGAUGAAGGAUUUUGGGACGGUGCCAAGGCAGUUUCCCCCUCAGCGCACUGGUUUUUUUUCCGGAAGAAUUACGCGAGAGCGGAAAAGUUGCAAUGGCAUCGCAGUUCCCUGCUCAGAAAAUGCCCAGGGAGUAAAGCACGGCCAAGUGGUGCCAUUCAACUGCGCCACAGCUGGGAGCAUCAGGUAAGUGACGAGGACUGAGCCGCAUCCCCCCUUAGCAAACACAACAGUAAUGUCAAGCAGGAUCACCCUUUUCCAGACCACUGGCAUGUGCUUGGGGACAAAAAGCUGUGUUUUUCACAGCCGGGUCUUCUGAGCCACAGCACCCCCUGCUCUGGGGUGGCCACUGCUCACUGAUCACAGUGAGAACAAACUUGUGUACAGGCGCUCUGCAAAAUUCCCACCUUAGAUGCCACUGAAGCGCAGCUUUGGCUUUCAGGCAUCUCCCCUGCAAGCUGUCCCUUGUGUCGUUUCCGCAGGGGAUUCGUUGUUAAUUAAUUACUUCACUUUUUUUAUUUUAAUUUCCAAAGAAUAGAAGUUGACUUUUACAGCUUCUUCAGUGCUCCCCAAGCUUUAUACCACACCUAAAUGCUCGUCUUCGCUGCCUGAAGGUCUUUUCUGACCUGAACAAUUCUAUGACUUUGG
rnacentral:lncRNA from 1 species